rnacentral:tRNA from 1 species
UCGCCCCUGGCGGGGCUGGCGUUGGGCGGCACCUCGCUGGUGCCGGCGAGGGGCGCCGCGAAGGCCUGGGUCUCGGCCCGGGCGGCGGA